CUAUGCUUUUCAAAUUUCCAUCACUCAUUGUGAAGUUUAGUUUUCAUUGUCAACUUGACUUGAUUUAGAAUCACCACCGAAGACCCACUCUGAGUAUGAAUGGCACCAUCCCUUGAGCUGAUGUCCCAGACAGAAUAAAAAGGAAACAGUGAGGUUUCUCUGGAUUUUCCUGGAAUGAAGGACUCACUUUGGCCACAUUUGGAUUUCACUGAAAUUCAAAGGACCUCAAAAUACUGGGAUGCCAAAGUUGACCUGGACUAGCAGACGUCAAGAUGCAUCUCUUUCCCAUCAUACAACUACCUUCCUAACAAGAUUAAGAAAAGCUACCACAGGGAGAUGGACUCCCCUCACCACCCCCUGCAUCUAUCUAUCCAAUCAGACUGAAAUGUUCUGGGUGAAAUAAUUUGUGGCACUGUUUCAAUCUUUCCUCCUAGAGUAGCUGAUGCUUCUUAAUAUCUUUGCUAAUGAGAUCAUGGGAGCUGUGGCUAAUGUGGAAUCAUUUCUGGCUUGAUGCAAUGGGUGGGUAGCUGUGCAGUGAUGGCUGUGGUAUGACUCGCCUCUGUAGCCCUCUCACCAUAGUGCAGUUUCUAGAAUUGCUAUGUGACAUGGAUACUAUGCAUUGGGCUGUGCUGUGAGUCUGCACUAAGACAAUAUAGUCCCAAGCAUGAAUUCUGGUGACUUGGAUAGUUCAUGUCCUUUCAUACUUUGCAUUUUAGAUUUCCUGAAAGCUUAACCAGCGUCUUUUGCAGAGCUGCCUCUUCUGGGGAAAAGAGAACUCAACUCAGAUUUAGAUGAACUUUGGCAUCUAUUACAGGAAAAUAGCUUACUGUUCCCAACUCUGCCCCUGUUCCUACAUGCCAUUACAUUGCUAAUUUACCUAAGACUAUGAUACAGUCAAGGGCUCCCAGGAAAAGGACUGGGGGUUUCAUGCAGUCUUGGGAUGGCCUCAGCUAUUGAAUGUCUUCCAGGAUGCUUCCUGAAUCCCUAGAGCUUGUUUGGUUUUCAAUUUGCCUCAAAUUCAACAUCAAAGUAGCCCAGCCUCUUUAAAAGAUCAGUAUUCUGAAACUCACCUCCAUCUGCCUAUUGUCAAAGCCUGUUAUUAAUAGCCAGAUACAUUGUGUGGUUCUUUGAGGUGAGAGCUUGGGAAAGGGCACUCAAAGUCAUUCUGGAACUAUCAGAAGGGCCUAGGAGUAGGAUUGCAGAUGGAUUCCUGAAAGAGAAGGAAAUGGAAGGCUAGAGAGGGUCUGCUUGUGUUGGCAAGUUUCUGGAAGAACUCCUUUCCCCUGAGGUCAACCAGCAUUCAUCCAAUCAUGUUCACACAGCUGCUUCCAGGUCUGAAGGACAACACCUCUUUAUAUGCGACAUCGUAGUUUCCAUCAUUUUUGCCAGGUACCUGUGUAACUAUUGUCAGGUCUAAGUGUGUUUGUA